rnacentral:rRNA from 1 species
UACAGAGGUCCCAAGCGUUGUUCGGAUUCACUGGGCGUAAAGGGUGCGUAGGUGGUGGGGUAAGUCUGAUGUGAAAUCUUCGAGCUUAACUCGGAAAUGGCAUUGGAUACUACUCUGCUAGAGGUUUGGAGGGGGGACUGGAAUUCUCGGUGUAGCAGUGAAAUGCGUAGAUAUCGAGAGGAACACCAGUGGCGAAGGCGAGUCCCUGGACAACACCUGACACUGAGGCACGAGAGCUAGGGGAGCAAACAGG